CACGGGGGGAGCAAGCGUUGUUCGGAAUCACUGGGCGUAAAGGGCGUGUAGGCGGUCAAGUAAGUGGAAUGUGAAAGCCCCCGGCUUACCCGGGGAUCUGCAUCCCAAACUGCUUGGCUUGAGUACGGGAGAGGAUGAGGGAAUUCCUGGUGUAGCGGUGAAAUGCGUAGAGAUCGGGAGGAACACCAGAGGCGAAGGCGGCGACCUGGACAAGUACUGACACUCAACUACGAAAGCGUGGGGAGCAAACAGG
rnacentral:rRNA from 1 species